GACCAACCACAAUCCAUAUUGCAUCACAUGGACAUGGCCACCCCUACCCUCUUCUUCUUUAUGACUCUUACCCCACCCUUCAUUCAUCCUCUAUUCACCCCUCUCUCUCUCCCCAUAUGUCUAUAUCUAUAUAUAGAUAGAUAGAGUAUUGUUACAUGCACACAGCAUAUGUAUACAACAUUGUAUUGUAUGAAGAGGAAAUUAUAAUUAAUGGGUUCAAAAAAAGUAGUAGUGGGGGUGAAAAAACAUAAAAGAUUAGCUGAGAGUAUAAAAUCAAGAUCUGGAGGGAUGGUGAGGGUGGUUGAGAGGAAGAUGGAGAAGCUUCAAAGGGUUGUGCCGGGAGGGGAUGAAUUGCAUUCGGAUCAUCAGCUUCUUCUCCACACUGCAGAUUACAUUUUGCAUUUGCGGUGGCAAGUCACUGCUUUAGAAAAGGCUCUUCUGUUUUUUGAAACAAAUUAAGCAGCAGCUGCAUUCCUAGGUCAUCGCCAGUACCGAUCGAGUCCACUGACAAUAAAUAUUAGUUAUCUUUAGUAAUUCUCUCUUCAUCCUUAAUAUUCUUGUAUGCAUACAAAUACAUUCUAGCUUAAUGUUGUACUAUUGAUCAUAGAGUGAGAUGUGAAUAAACAUUAUGUUUGUCCUGUAAUUUGCUGUAUUCAUCAAGUCAGGUAGUAAUUAGUAUUUUGUUAGUAGAUUUUGUAACUCCAUACUCAAAUUCUGUAAGUUGGUAAAAAUGUGUUGUGUAUUCACGGUAACAUCAUUUCUCUUAAAUGAAGUGUUCAUAUUUGACCUUUAUCUAUGCAAAUUUAGUCCUUA
rnacentral:lncRNA from 1 species